AACGUAGGAGACAAACGUUAUCCGGAGUUACUGGGCGUAAAGGGCGUGUAGGUGGUUUCGUAAGUCUGGCGUGAAAUUUCUCGGCUUAACCGAGGCAGGUCGUCGGAUACUGCGGAACUUGAGGACGGUAGAGGCGUGUGGAAUUCCGGGUGUAGUGGUGAAAUGCGUAGAGAUCCGGAGGAACACCAGUGGCGAAGGCGGCAUCCUGGACCAACACUGACGCUGAGGCGCGAAAGCGUGGGUAGCAAACAGG
rnacentral:rRNA from 1 species